CUCAAAAACAGCCCGCCUCUCACGGAAGCGCAUGCGUACUGCCGGCUGAGCAGGAACGCAUUUGUGCCGCCGGAACCAGCAAGCUAAGUACUGGGCUGGGCAGCUGGAAGGAACGGCGGGGCGGCUCCUGUAGCUAUGGAAGAGCGAGGGAAAGCCCUCAAGCCUUGACCUCCACAGACGGCGACGCAGGGAUGGUCAGAGGUCAGGCCGGAGUGGUGAGCUUCCUCGUUCAGCGGGAACGAAGCUCUCUCUUGCUCGGUGCCUCGCGGAAGCAUGUCGUAGGCUCACCCCUCGCCCGCCGUUGCCUUGGAGACUGGAAGCAGACGAGUGGUGGCGCGCGCCUGGAAACGCCACGACUCGCCAGAAACGGCAGCGCGAGCUCAACAGCGCGCGGCGGCGGCGGCAUUGGCAAUUCCAGCAGCAAGCAUGUCCUUUCCCUUGGGGUGGGGCGGCGCUCCGGGCCCCGCUUCCUCAGCCUGGGCGUGGGUCGUUGCCGGGCCGUGGAAAAGCCAGGUGUAAAUAUUUGUGCAUCACCAUUACAAAUUGAAAACAGCAAGGGGAGUUUUUCCCUAUCGGGAAGCAAAAAGCUUUAUUUUGACACCCAUGCCUUAGUGUGCCUCCUGGAAGAAAAUGGAUUCACUACUCAGCAAUCCGAGAUCAUUGUACCUGCUUUAAUGAACGUCAUGAACAGUAACAUGGAUGUGAUAUACAAAGACAUGGUCACAAAAGUACAACAGGAAAUUGCUCUUCAGCAGAUAAUGUCUCGUAUUGGUGUUGUGAAGAAAGAUAUGAUUAUUUUGGAGAAGAGUGAAUUUUCAGCACUCAGGGCAGAAAAUGAGAAAAUAAAACUUGAACUUCAGCAGCUGAAAAAGCAAGUAAUGGAUGAAAUUUGCAAAGUUCGUACGGACAGCAAACUCGAUUUCAACGUAGAAAAGAGCAGAGUAAAAGAAUUGUAUGCACUUAAUGAGAGAAAACGGUUGAAAAUGAGAACAGAAAUAGUGGAAUUGAUUGAUAUGUCUCUUCCAUUGGCAAUAUUAAUGAAGACUGACAGAUUCUUGAGGGCUUGGUUCAGCAUGCACAUCAAGAUCGAGCUUUAACACAGACAGACAGGAAAAUAGACACUGAAGUUGCAGGCCUGAAAACUAUGCUUGAAUCGCACAAACUUGACAACAUUAAGUAUUUAGCAGGUUCAGUAUUUACAUGCCUUACAGUAGCACUGGGAUUUUACCGUUUAUGGAUGUAACAGAGCAUCUGUUUAAAAAGGACUUGUACUAUCUUGCCUUAGAAAAAACAAAGCUUCAUUGUACCCUAGCUGGAAUCAUUUAGUUUUGUCUUCAGAGUCACUGCCAUUGUAUUUAUUUAAAACUCUCUGGAAUGUAACCAAAGAAUGUGCCUGAAAAUGAAUGUGUAUAUAUCAAAAUAUUGAUAGAAAGUUGGCCUGAGUUGAUCAACCAUAUUUUGCACAGCAAUGUCCACCUAUAUAAAUCUGGUUUUGAGGGGGAGGUGGCAGUUUCUGGGUUACAGUAAUCAGGGGUGUCCUUGGGGCAGGGCAAGUGGGGUGACCGCCCUGGGCCCUGCUCUUUUCACCCCCAUGAAAAUUAAGAAGGGGGCCCCACAUUGGCUGACUUGCACCAUGCCCGGGCUCUCUAAGGACACCCCUGAUGGUAAUUCUAAAACAUUGGGUUAUAUACCAGACACAUCAAAUAUAAAUAUAGUUUAGAAGGAAAAUCACCAAGGUGUCUUUUGCUAAGUUCUAUUGUAGUAUGCAAGACUGUAAAAGCAGAAGUCCGUACAUAGUGAAUGCAGGGGGGAAUUGACUUCAUUUCUUCAGAGCUGAAAAGUCUUGAGUUACAUCAGAGCUCACAUAUUUCCUCUCUGUUAAUAAAACACGCAGUAAAGUCUUGUUAUCAGUGGCCAACUUCCAUAUUAAAUUUGCACUCGUGGAAGAAUGUUUCUCAUCGCCCAGGGAAAAAACUCUUCCACAAGAGCUACGUUAGUCUGGAUGUCAACCACUGUGUUUUAACAGACCAGCUGCUUUCAUUGUGGUCUGCUGUUGUAAAUUUUUCAUCCAGUUAAUCAUGUUUUAUGAGGAAGUGUAAAAAAUAAUGUUGGUAAGCAAAUGCCAAAUAGACUUGAAACUACAUCCUAGCUGUUACCUUGAUUCUAAAAAUGGAUAAAAUAAAGCACAGUGAAUUGUA